UACGUAGGGGGCUAGCGUUGUCCGGAAUCAUUGGGCGUAAAGCGCGUGUAGGCGGUCCGGUAAGUCCGCUGUGAAAGUCGGGGCUCAACCCUCGGAUGCCGGUGGAUACUGUCGGGCUUGAGUACGGAAGAGGCGAGUGGAAUCCUGGUGUAGCGGUGAAAUGCGCAGAUAUCAAGGAGGAACACCGGUGGCGAAGGCGGGUCUC
rnacentral:rRNA from 1 species